rnacentral:lncRNA from 1 species
CAGAAACCCUACAGGAACAAUGCUGGAAGACCUGGUUGCUGUCAGAGCUGCUUUCUUCUACUUGACUCCCUCUUUCUUCUCCCUUCCUUUGCUCCCUCUCCCUUCCUCCCUCCACCCCCCUUGCUCUCCCUAAGGUCUCCUAUAUCUAACCCCAGACUGGCCUCCAACUCUCUAUUUAGUCAAGGAAGACUUCGAACUUCUGAUCCUCCUGCCUCCACCUCACCUCCCAAGUGCUAGGUUGCAGGAAUUGACCCAUGUUAUGAAGUCUGGAGGUUAAGUCCAAGAUCUCAGGCAUUCUACGAAAGCCCUCACCGUGAGAGGCCCCAGCUCCACAAGGAGGUUUGCUCUCUGCCCUUACAUUUCUGGCUAUGAUGACAUAUGUGGCAAACAACCGGAGACAGGAGACUGAUGAUGGACCCAAGGAAUGUGAAGGUGCUGGAUUCCACAUGCAUUUGUUCUCACCUCUCCUCCUUACAGCAUUGCAAAGGGGUGCAGAGAUUGACAGCUCCAGCCCUGAUAUCCAGAGUGCCUGGCACACUAUCUCCAACUCUGUAUAUGCCCAAUGUUCAUGUCUAAAUUAGUCAUCAACUCCAAAAAUAGUGAAUGAAAAGACUUAACAGAGCGGCUGAUGGUGCCUGAUCCAAAAUCAUAGUGUGGAA